rnacentral:sRNA from 1 species
UAAAUAGAAUUAUAGAACACAUGAUUUCACAAAGAAUAUAGAGGACUAGAACCCCUGAGCAAAUCCUGGCCCUGGUAAGCUAUUGAGAGAUUUCUUCCCCCACCCCUGCCAUCGAUAUUUCGAAGAAAGAAUUUUUUUAACAAUAUUUUUCAGAGAAAUCCCCAGUCAAAUCAGAUAUUAUGUCGUUCACUCCAGUCAAUCAGUCAAGUCAGGGUUCUGUCACUGGGGAGAACAUCACAGCAGGUUCUGCGAUGGAAAAAAUUCUCACAGAGGAUGUGAUCAUGGAUG